AAAAAGAUAAGCUAAAUAAAGCUAAUGGGUUCAUACCCCGUAAAUAAAAAUUUUAAUUUUUUUCUUUUUAU
rnacentral:tRNA from 1 species